CGUAGGGUGCAAGCGUUAAUCGGAAUUACUGGGCGUAAAGCGUGCGCAGGCGGUUUUAUAAGUCUGAUGUGAAAUCCCCGGGCUCAACCUGGGAACUGCAUUGGAGACUGUAAGGCUAGAGUGUGUCAGAGGGGGGUAGAAUUCCACGUGUAGCAGUGAAAUGCGUAGAUAUGUGGAGGAAUACCGAUGGCGAAGGCAGCCCCCUGGGAUAACACUGACGCUCAUGCACGAAAGCGUGGGGAGCAAACAGGAUUAGAUACCCUGGUAGUCCACGCCCUAAACGAUGUCUACUAGUUGUCGGGUCUUAACUGACUUGGUAACGCAGCUAACGCGUGAAGUAGACCGCCUGGGGAGUACGGUCGCAAGAUUA
rnacentral:rRNA from 1 species